CCCCACCCUGCGUCUUAAAACAUGAGGGGAGGCGUGGGGAGGCCCAGCAGAACCCGCCUGCUAGUCUGAGAAGCCAGACUGGCUGUUGGUGAAUGGGCGCUCUGGGCUUAAGUCCACCCCCACCCCAAGUUCUCUGUGUGUGUUCUGGGGGACCAGCAGCACUGCGAUGAGGGCAAAGCCGUGGACAUCCCCUACAUGGACAUCGAAGCGCUGAAGAAACUCAACAAGAACAAGAAGCUAGUCAAGAAGCUGGCCAAGAAGUAUUAUGCCUUUUUUGGCUUCAGAGUUGAUCAAGCAGAUCCCCAGAAUCCUGGGUCCAGGCCUGAAUAAGGCUGGCAAGUUUCCUUCCUUGCUGACCCACAAUGAGAACAUGGUGGCCAAAGUUGAUGAAGUAAAGUCUACAAUCAAGUUCCAAAUGAAGGAGGUGCUGUGUCUGGCAGUGGCUGUUGGCCAUGUGAAAAUGACAGAUGACAAGCUUGUGUACAACAUCCACUUAGCUGUUAAUUUCCUGGUGUCAUUGCUCAAGAAGAAUUGGCAGAACGUGCGGGCUUUAUACAUCAAGAGCACCGUGGACAAGCCCCAGCGUCUGUACUAAAUGACAAUUUAGUAAAAGCCAGU